GACGAACGCUGGCGGCGUGCCUAAUACAUGCAAGUAGAACGCUGAAGAGAGGAGCUUACUCUUCUUGGAUGAGUUGCGAACGGGUGAGUAACGCGUAGGUAACCUGCCUUGUAGCGGGGGAUAACUAUUGGAAACGAUAGCUAAUACCGCAUAACAAUGGAUGACACAUGUCAUUUAUUUGAAAGGGGCAAUUGCUCCACUACAAGAUAGACCUGCGUUGUAUUAGCUAGUAGGUGAGGUAAUGGCUCACCUAGGCGACGAUACAUAGCCGACCUGAGAGGGUGAUCGGCCACACUGGGACUGAGACACGGCCCAGACUCCUACGGGAGGCAGCAGUAGGGAAUCUUCGGCAAUGGGGGCAACCCUGACCGAGCAACGCCGCGUGAGUGAAGAAGGUUUUCGGAUCGUAAAGCUCUGUUGUAAGUCAGGAACGGGUGUGAGAGUGGAAAGUUCACACUGUGACGGUAGCUUACCAGAAAGGGACGGCUAACUACGUG
rnacentral:rRNA from 1 species